GAGAGACUCUGCUAAGAGUGCCUUCUCGGAUGUGAAGAAAAGUUGAGCAUUUUUUUUAUUUGCAGGUCUACCUAGUUGUGGAGGAUGGAGGUCGACAUAUAUAAGAGUCUCCCUAACAACAAGUAGUAGUGCUAUUCCUUUACCCUUCUUGGUCAUAGCAAUGUAGUGGGAGCUGCAAGCUUCACGUGUUUUAACUUUGUCAUAGCACUUUGAAAAAGUGGUCUGUGGUAUCUAGAAAGCUGAUGUUGCGUGUGAAGAUUGCAGACAAGCUUUAUCCAAGGAAAUCUGGCUUUCGAAGUUCGGAGAGCGGUGCCUCUUCGGUUUUUAAACAAGCAAUCUUGUCGAGGAUCUGGCUCUCGAGAUUCAGAGAACGGUGCCUCUUCGAUUUUUAAGAAAGCAAUCCUGUUGGGAGUCUGACUCUUGAGAUUCGGAGAACAAUGUCUCUUUCAUUUUUGAGAAAGUAAUCUUGUUAGGAGUCUGGCUCUCAAGAUUCGGAGGGCGGUGCCUCUUCGAUUUUUGAGCACGUAAUCCUGUUAGGAGUCUGGCUCUGGAGAUUCGAAGAGCGGUGCCUUUUCGAUUUUUGAGCAAGCAAUCUUGUUGGGUGUCUGGCUCUCGAGAUUCGGAGAGCGUUGCCUCUUCAAUUUGUGAGCAAACAAUCUUGUUGGGAGUGUUUUCUCGAAUGUGAGUAAAGGUUGGGCAUUUUUGCCAGUCUGCCUUGCCAUGGAGCACGAAGGUUGACACACAUAGGGACUUUCUAGUUAUCAAGCAGUGGUGCUGUUCCUUUACCCUUGUGGGUAAUAGUAGGGUAGCUGGACCUUCAAAAUUUAUGUGUCUAAACUUUGUUAGAGAUCUUUGGCAAAGUUAUCUGUGGUACCCGAUGAGCUGAUGUUGCGUGUGGAAAGUGGUGCCUUUUCGGAAUCCGGAGAGUGGUGCCUCUUCGAUUUUUGAACC
rnacentral:lncRNA from 1 species